CUCCUGCAAAGAUCAAGUCCAAACUCUUUAACCCUUAUUUUCUCCUGCAAAGAUCAGGUCAAAGCUCUUUAACUCUCACAUUCCCAUGCAAAAAUCAGGUCAAAACUGUUUAUUUCUCACCGUCUGCAAAGAUUAGGUUUAAGCUCUUUAACCCUCAUCUUUUCCUGCAAAGAUCAGGUCCAAACUCUUUAACUCUCACCUUCCCCUGCAAAGAUCAGGUUCAAGCUCUAUAACUCUCAUCUUCUCCUGCAAAGAUCAGGUCCAAACUCUUUAACCCUCAUCUUUUCCUGCAAAGAUCAGGUCCAAGCUUUUAAGGUCUUAUAUUUUCCUGCAACGAUCAGGUCAAAGGUCUUUUACCCUAAUCUUCUCUUGCAAAGACCAGGUCCAAGCUCUUUUACUCUCACCUUAUCCUGCAAAGAUUAGGUCCAAACUCUUUAACUCUCAUCUUCUUCUGCAAAUAUCAGGUCCAAACUCUUAAACUCUCACCUUCCCCUGCAAAGAUCAGGUCCAUGUUCUUUAACCUUCAUUCACUCCUGCAAAGACCAGGUCCAAGCUCUUUUACUCUCACCUUAUCCUGCAAAGAUUAGGUCUAAGCUCUUUAACCUUUAUCUUCUCCUGCAAAGACCAGGUCCAUGCUCUCUAACCCUGCAUUUUCUCCUGCAAAGAUUGGGUCCAAGCUCCUUAACUCUCAAGUUCUCCUGCAAAGAUCAGUUUCAAGCUCUUUAACCCUUACCUUCUUCUACAAAGAUCAGGUCCAAACUCUUUGACACUCAUCUUCUCC